rnacentral:rRNA from 1 species
AGUGAACGCUGGCGGUAGGCCUAACACAUGCAAGUCGAACGGCAGCACAGUAAGAGCUUGCUCUUACGGGUGGCGAGUGGCGGACGGGUGAGGAAUACAUCGGAAUCUACUUUUUCGUGGGGGAUAACGUAGGGAAACUUACGCUAAUACCGCAUACGACCUACGGGUGAAAGCAGGGGAUCUUCGGACCUUGCGCGAUUGAAUGAGCCGAUGUCGGAUUAGCUAGUUGGCGGGGUAAAGGCCCACCAAGGCGACACUCGGUAGAUGGUCUGAGAGAAUGAUCAGCCACACUGGAACUGAGACACGGUCCAGACUCCUACGGGAGGCAGCAGUGGGGAAUAUUGGACAAUGGGGGCAAGCCUGAUCCAGCCAUACCGCGUGGGUGAAGAAGGCCUUCGGGUUGUAAAGCCCUUUUGUUGGGAAAGAAAAGCAGCAGGUUAAUACCCCGCUGUUCUGACGGUACCCAAAGAAUAAGCACCGGCUAACUUCGUG